rnacentral:rRNA from 1 species
UACGGGAGAUGCGAGCGUUAUCCGGAAUCACUGGGCGUAAAGCGUCUGUAGGUGGUUUGUUAAGUCUGUUGUUAAAAACUGAAGCUCAACUUCAGAGGUGCGGCAGAAACUGGCAAACUUGAGUAUGUUAGGGGUAGGAGGAAUUUCUAGUGUAGCGGUGAAAUGCGUAGAUAUUAGGAAGAACACCAUUAGCGAAGGCGUCCUACUGGGCCAUAACUGACACUGAGAGACGAAAGCUAGGGUAGCAAACGGG